rnacentral:rRNA from 1 species
AUGACUCUCUCUUCCUUGCCGGAGGAGCCCACCACCAUGGAUGAAGAUGGUCCCGGAGAGCGAGGGCAGUGGCGCGACGAUCCGCCUGAAGAGGAACUUCCAUCGGCGCUGCUUGCCGGCGCGAACAAGCAGGACUUCGGCAUCGCCGCUGGGCUCGGGGAGGAGGAAGGGCUCGGUGAGGUGGCGGGGAGUAGGAAGGUAAGGAUGACGGUGCUCGGGGAGGGGAGUGGGCUCUGUGCGUCGCCGGCGCAUGGCUUAAAUAGCCGCGAUCAGGCCAGGCGACACUGGCGGAGCUAUGUGUAA